GAUGAACGCUAGCUACAGGCUUAACACAUGCAAGUCGAGGGGAAACGAUAUUGGAAGCUUGCUUCCGAUUGGCGUCGACCGGCGCACGGGUGAGUAACGCGUAUCCAACCUGCCCACCACUUGGGGAUAACCUUGCGAAAGUAAGACUAAUACCCAAUGAUAUCCAUAGAAGACAUCUGAAAUGGAUUAAAGAUUUAUCGGUGAUGGAUGGGGAUGCGCCUGAUUAGCUUGUUGGCGGGGUAACGGCCCACCAAGGCGACGAUCAGUAGGGGUUCUGAGAGGAAGGUCCCCCACAUUGGAACUGAGACACGGUCCAAACUCCUACGGGAGGCAGCAGUGAGGAAUAUUGGUCAAUGGGCGAGAGCCUGAACCAGCCAAGUAGCGUGCAGGAUGACGGCCCUAUGGGUUGUAAACUGCUUUUAUAAGGGAAUAAAGUGGGAGUCGUGACUCCUUUUGCAUGUACCUUAUGAAUAAGGACCGGCUAAUUCCGUGCCAGCCGCCGCCGUAA
rnacentral:rRNA from 1 species